CCAGACGAGACACAGAGACAGCAACAGAAUAGGAUAUGAUGGAGAGAGACACCAAACAAGACACAGAGACAGCAACAGAAGAAUAGGAUAUGAUGGAGAGAGACACCAGACAAGACACAGAGACAGCAACAGAAGAAUAGGAUGUGAUAGAGAGAGACACCAGACAAGACACAGAGACAGCAACAGACGACACAGAGAAAGUGAUGGAGAGAGACAGAAGAAUAGAGUUCCAGACAGUUGUAGAAUGUAUGCCAAGACACAUUGUAAGAGCUGUAAAGAGAGAGGGAGGGAGAGAGAACAGGCAGAACCUGAUAUGUAAAUGAGCAGAGCAAAUGAAACUCACUUUUGACGACCUGAUGAUCAUUCCAGACUGUGUUUCUAUUGAGAGAUAAAAGGCUGGUUGAAUGAGUUGUCUAUGAAAGCUACUUCAUCUGUAAGAAAACAGGCGUCUGCACCAGUGACUGGGUCAGUGCUCUACAAUGAGUCUCUCUGGGGAGAGAGAGGAGCGGGGCCCUGCCUCUAAAAUGAGUCUCUCUGAGGAGAGCAAGAAGGGGGCCC